rnacentral:rRNA from 1 species
GAUGAACGCUAGCUACAGGCUUAACACAUGCAAGUCGAGGGGUAACGAGAGGAAAGCUUGCUUUCCUUGUCGACGACCGGCGCACGGGUGAGUAACGCGUAUCCAACCUGCCCCCAACUAGGGAAUAACCUUGCGAAAGUAAGACUAAUACCCUAUAAUUUCCUCAGAUGUCAUCUGACGAGGAAUAAAGAUUUAUCGGUUGUGGAUGGGGAUGCGUCUGAUGAGCCUGUUAGCGGGGUAACGGCCCACCAAGGCAACGAUCAGUAGGGGUUCUGAGAGGAAGUGCCCCCACAGUGGAACUGAGACACGGUCCAAGCUCCUACGGUAGGAAGCAGUGAGGAAUAUUGGUAGAUGGGCGGAAGCCUGAACCAGCCAAUUAGCGUGCAGUAUGACGGCCCUAUGGGUUGUAAACUGCUUUGAUACAGGAAUAAAGUUAGCCACGUGUGGUUAGCUGGAGUUACGGUAUGAAUAAGGACCGGCUAAUUCCGUGCCAGCAGCCGCCGUAU